ensembl:snRNA U6 U6 spliceosomal RNA
GUGCUCACUUCAGCAAGCACAUAUACUAAGAACUGGAACAAUAUAGAGAUUAGCAUGGCCCCUGCGCAAAGAUGACACACAAAUCUAUGAAGUGUUCCAUAUUUUA